rnacentral:lncRNA from 1 species
CCCUUGUCUGACCCUUUCAGGGUGGGGCCGGUUUCUGUCCUUAACCCCCCGGGACCUCAGGAGAAUGAGCUCCACCUUGCUAAACCUCGGUUUGCUCAUCUCUGAAAUGGAGUUAAUAAUAAGGCACUGUUGGGUUCAGAGACCUCUGAGCCUAGCCCAGUGUUAUACGUAUGAUCUCAGUGAUUUCUCCAUUUUAUGGGACAGAAAGCUGAGGCACAGAGAGGUCACAUGGGCUGUUCAAGGUCGCACAGCCAGGCGCGGCAGAGCUCAGACCGGAAGCCAGCUUUCUCUGUCACUAGAGCCUGACAAUGGCGCCUCUCUACCACAUCUUGGUUCUCUGUGUGGGUUUUCUCACCAUGGCCAACGCAGAAGCUCCACAGGAACACGACCCAUUCACCUAUGGUGA